rnacentral:rRNA from 1 species
CCUACGGGAGGCAGCAGUGAGGAAUAUUGGUCAAUGGACGAGAGUCUGAACCAGCCAAGUAGCGUGAAGGAUGACUGCCCUAUGGGUUGUAAACUUCUUUUAUAUGGGAAUAAAAUGUUCCACGUGUGGGCUUUUGUAUGUACCAUAUGAAUAAGGACUGGCUAACUCCGUGCCAGCAGCCGCGGUAAUACGGAGGAUCCGAGCGUUAUCCGGAUUUAUUGGGUUUAAAGGGGGCGUAGGUGGAUUGUUAAGUCAGUUGUGAAAGUUUGCGGCUCAACCGUAAAAUUGCAGUUGAAACUGGCAGUCUUGAGUACAGUAGAGGUGGGCGGAAUUCGUGGUGUAGCGGUGAAAUGCUUAGAUAUCACGAAGAACUCCGAUUGCGAAGGCAGCUCACUGGACUGCAACUGACACUGAGGCUCGAAAGUGUGGGUAUCAAACAGGAUUAGAUACCCGAGUAGUC